rnacentral:rRNA from 1 species
CACGGGGGGAGCAAGCGUUGUUCGGGAUCACUGGGCGUAAAGGGCGUGUAGGCGGUCUGGUAAGUGGGAUGUGAAAGCCCCCGGCUCACCCGGGGAUCUGCAUUCCAAACUGCCAGACUUGAGUAUGGGAGAGGACAGGGGAAUUCCUGGUGUAGCGGUGAAAUGCGUAGAUAUCAGGAGGAACACCGGUGGCGAAAGCGCCUGUCUGGCCCAAUACUGACGCUGAUGCGCGAAAGCUAGGGGAGCAAACGGG